GACGAACCGUCCAAACGUUAUUCGGAAUUACUGGGCUUAAAGGGUGCGUAGGCGGCGCGGAAAGUUGGGUGUGAAAUCCCUCGGCUUAACCGAGGAACUGCGCCCAAAACUACCGUGCUCGAGGGAGAUAGAGGUGAGCGGAACUUAGGGUGGAGCGGUGAAAUGCGUUGAUAUCCUAAGGAACACCGGUGGCGAAAGCGGCUCACUGGAUCUCUUCUGACGCUGAGGCACGAAAGCUAGGGUAGCAAACGGG
rnacentral:rRNA from 1 species